rnacentral:misc_RNA from 1 species
AACGGUCUAUACCUGCGGUACCUGCGGAAGGAUCAUUACCGAGUUAUACAACUCAUCAACCCCUGUGAACUUACCUACAACGUUGCUUCGGCGGGAACAGACGGCCCCGUAAAACGGGCCGCCCCCGCCAGAGGACCCCUAACUCUGUUUUUAUAAUGUUUUUCUGAGUAAACAAGCAAAUAAAUUAAAACUUUUAACAACGGAUCUCU